CCUACGGGUGGCAGCAGUGGGGAAUAUUGCGCAAUGGGCGAAAGCCUGACGCAGCGACGCCGCGUGAGGGAUGAAGGUCUUCGGAUCGUAAACCUCUGUCAGCAGGGAAGAACGGUCACUGUGCUAAUCAGCAGUGAAUUGACGGUACCUGCAAAGGAAGCACCGGCUAACUCCGUGCCAGCAGCCGCGGUAAUACGGAGGGUGCGAGCGUUAAUCGGAAUUACUGGGCGUGAAGCGCUAGGAGGCGGUAUGUCAAGUCAAGGGUGAAAUCCCCGCGCUCAACGUGGGAACUGCCUUUGAAACUGGCAAACUGGAGUGUGUGAGAGGAUAGUGGAAUUCCAGGUGUAGGAGUGAAAGCCGUAGAUAUCUGGAGGAACAUCAGUGGCGAAGGCGACUAUCUGGCACAUAACUGACGCUGAGGAGCGAAAGCGUGGGUAGCAAACAGGAUUAGAUACCCCUGUAGUC
rnacentral:rRNA from 1 species